rnacentral:misc_RNA from 1 species
GAAGUGCGAAACGUGUCAUGACUUGCAGAUUCCCGAGAGCUGACGAAUCUCUGAAUGCAAAUGGCGGCCGCUUGACUCGGCCAUGGAUUGCAGAGUGUAGUGGUUCCGACUCCUCAUCCAAUCUAUUGAUUGCAUCUGCGCUUGCCGAAACAAUCUUGCGAGCGUGAAAUGUCGAGUUAAGUGGUCUUCAACCCGAAGGCUGCUUGACUACGGAUCCAACACCUACAACAUGCGUCACGUGUGUUGUUAGUUCCCAUCUAAAUACCAAUUCAAUCCCACCUCUGCAAUGCAGGAUUACCCGCUGAACUUAA